GGGCCACACAUCCUGUCAACACAGUCCUGCCCCAUGCACAUGCCCUGACCCACUGAAGUGGCUCCUGUGACCAACUGCAGAGGCCCCUUACACGCCACCAAUGCAGGCCCACCCCUCACGCUUGUCCUGUCCUGCCCAGGUGGACCCACUCACCCAGCUGCAGAGUUUCCAGGCACCCCACCUAUGUCAGCCCACAAAUUGGCCCAGGACUUGCUGUUAGAUGGGGCUAGUCCCUAGAGCAGGCUGCCUUCCCUGGCUGAGCAGCCAUGUGCUCUAGUGGGUGACAUAGACCCCUGUGCUAACAGGCCAGGGGAAGACCUCCAAUAGCAUCUGCCAGUGUCUGUGUCAGCACUCCUGUACUAAGUCACAAUAAUGGCUGCCACCAAUGUCUUAGUCCAUGGGGAGGUCUCAUCUCUCACCAAGAUUCAUCCAGAGCCUAUCAGAGCCUGAAUCUAGAGAAUCUAAAAUGCCGUGCAUCCUAAGAAGCAUGUAAUGGUCCGGAGGUGGAUGAGUCUUUUCAUGCACAGUUGCUCCAGUACAGCUCCUCCAGGACAAUUCCCCUGUUUCCGAAGACCUGUGAACUCUAAAAGCGAGUUACCUGCUCCUCCCACAUCCCCCCACCACACACGCAAUUCAGGACAGGGAGACUGGCUGAGGGUAACUGCUAUAGACCUUCCCACUCAAAAAGAAAGGGAAGUAAGGCACACAAAAAUCUCAUAAAUGUCGCAAAUUUGAAAUCCAGCCAAGACCAUGCUGCCAGUUUCUUGAUAUGGGUUCAAGCUUAUGGCCUGUGAAUGAUUCUGGACGGCUCUUGGAUCCACCUUUAAGGUUUUUGAUCCUACUGUCUGAAUUCUCAUUUCUUUUCCAUUAGAAAUAGCAGAAUGGCUUUCUCUCCAUAUCUUGCCCAUACUAGUCGAAUGGUCCAAUAGGCUCUUUUUAUUUUGUUCUGCCUCUGUCCCUCUUAGUCCAAGCUGGCAAUGUUUCUGUCAAUGUAUUUUCUUAAAUUUUUUGCAGGUUUUCUAUGAGUAUUAAUAGUAUUCAUUCCACUACAGAAACAUUAAACUGAGACAUAUUAAAAUGCUGAAGAGUUUCUUUGAGCAAACCUCGAUUUGAAUCAACCAAUGGAAGCCCCUACGGAAAGGUUAGGAGGGCCCCACUGACAGGAGCUAGGGGCAAGAUUUUUAUAUAGAAGAUGUGGAAGCAAAGCAAACAAAUUAUUUUAUUGAUUACAGCUUAAGCAGUCACCUUAUUUGAGAAAGCCUAGUUGGCUGGGAUUGGUUGUUCUUAAUUUUCACUUUCUUGGAUUUGAGACAUUGACUCUGGCUUGUGUUUCUGUUCGGCUAUGUAGGCUAGCAAUGCAUUAGAGCCUCCUGAGUCUAAGGCCCUCCUUGUUUAAUUAUAACUUUAACACUAUCUUUGGCUCCCCGUAAGGUUGGAGGAGAAAGUCCUCAGAAUUUUUAGAGGCUCUAUUAUUUAAAGAAGAGGAUCAGUGUUUAGAGGGACUGUUGUCUGUUUGAAGUACCAUAACAAGUAUUUCUGUGGUCAUAACAGAGGGUGGUAUAGUCGAACUCUUACUGUCUUCUUUAGACUAUAUUUUCCUGACAAUGCCUUAAAUUUGAUCUCAGCUCAGAAAAUAUUUUUAACUUUUUAGAAUCUUUUGCUAACUGUAGACUGUGUGGAUGACAAAUGGCUUUAUUGUCAAACCCUGAAAGUUCUGGGCCCCUUAUGCUAAAAAAAAAAAAUUGUUUUCUUUAUCCUUUCUCUCUUCUUUCAUGUUUUACUAUGAGCAACCAGGAAAAGCCAGAUGACACUUUAACACUCUGUCUGGAAUGUUCUUAAGUAGAUCAUCAGGUUCAUUUUUCCUAUUUUUCAUGUUAACAAAGGUGACGGGAUCGUUAAAGUUUCCAUCUUCCAAUAACAUUUUUCUCACCUUCCUUUCAUCUCCCACCAACAUCCUCCUAAAAUGCCACCAAGCUUCCACCAACAGACUCUGAGGCUUUUUAGGCUCUCACUUACACUCUCCUCGAUGUCCUUCCAGUUUCUCCCACCACCUGGGCCUAAGCCAUUCUCACCUGCUCUAAGAGUUUUACUAUACCAGGAGUAGCACCACUGCUGGUACCCAAAUCUGUUCCAGGUUAGAAUGUGCUUCUCUUACACUGUAGAACUGUUACCUGAGUUUGUUUAAAAUAACGGAUUGGAGCUACCAUGUUAGUAUUGCAAGAAAAUGUCUCUGUACUAUGUUGGCCUCUAAAAAAAGGAACAACCAUUUCACAGUUCUGAAAGCUGGAAGUCUGAGAUCAAGGUGCCAGCAUGGCUGGGUUCUGACAAGAACCAUCUUCCUGGCUUGUGCAUGGCUGCCUUCUCACUGUGUGCUCACAUGGACUCUCCCCCGUGGGUGUCUGGAGAGACAGAGAGAGAGCAAACUCUCCGAUGUCUCUUCUUGCGUGGACACUAAUUGCAUCAGAUCAGAGCUCCACCCAUACAACCUCGCUGAACCUUAAUCACCUCCGUAAAAGCCCUCUCUCUAAUAUAGUCAGAUGAGGGAGAGGUCAGAGCUUCAACAUAGGAAUUUUCUAGGCAGACAAUUCAGUCCAUAGCAAGUAAUCGUCCUACUAUGCGUCACGGAAAGACUGAGAUCACUGAGAAAUCAUCCUGGGUGUCCCUUUGGAGCAGUUCCAUAAUUAGUGACCCCAUUCUAUUACUUCAACAAAUAGUUUCUAUUCCAGGUACUGUUUAGGGGCCAAGUAUAAAUCAUGAACAAAGGAGAACUAACUGUUGCUCUCUUAUAUUUGGUAUGAUACAUACUUAUAAAGAAAAAUUUCCUGAUACGAAAAGAUUGUAGAAUGAGGAAAGUCUUCUCUGAGAAUAUUUAAGUUGAGACUUAGGAUGGAUGGAAAGAUGCUCACAAUGCCUGCUGGACAUCUCAGCAAAUCAGAGGACCAACAAGUUUCUGAGCCAGAGCUUGUGGCUGUGCAGUCUGCAGGAGGGCAACCAGGAGCAGGAGAAGGUGGAGCCGUGCUGGCAGGCAGUCUUCCAACUGCAUGUCGACCUGGAGCUGCCGGCAAGUGUUUGUUUACUGGUGUCUGCUAUGCUCCUGGAGCCCCCUUGCAUGGCAGUCAGGAAUUUUUGGAGGACGCACACACUCAAUCUACAGCAGCUAUCUGUUUGAAACUUCAUCUAACCUAUAUAGGAAAGAAAUACUGAAUUUGAUACAGUUUAGAUUUCCUUAUUUUGGAGAAUGACUUCAUAAUCUUAGAGUAAAUGAUAAACAUCAAACUUUCAGCUGUUGAAGCCAUAUAAUCGUGUGAAAAAAAACUGAAGAAGUGCCAGAGCCUUAUAGCGUUUGCCCAUGGCCCUGAAAUAAAGCAGUUAUAAAAAUAUAUAUAUAGGGGCUGGCCCCGUGGCCGAGUGGUUAAGUUCGCGUGCUCCGCUGCAGGCGGCCCAGUGUUUCGUUGGUUCGAAUCCUGGGCGCGGACAUGGCACUGCUCAUCAGACCACGCUGAGGCAGCGUCCCACAUGCCACAACUAAAAGGACCCACAACGAAGAAUAUACAACUAUGUACUGGGGGGCUUUGGGGAGAAAAAGGAAAAAAAAAUAAAAUAUUAAAAAAAUAUAUAUAUAUAUACAAAAUAUUGAUGAUGUUUGAAGUCUUAUUUGUUUUUUUAAACCAGAUAUCAGAACAAAUUUAAAUUCCAAAGAAGUUAUCAUGAAGAACUUCAUUGUUCCCUGGAAUCAGUCAUUAUAAACAAUGAAUGGUACUGACAGUAUGCAUUCAUUAUCUACCUUGAAAUUCUGGCAAGAACUGACGAUUAUGAAUAGAAAGAACUGAGUUCCGUAAAACCUCUAUUAUGUUUAGCACCAUUUGUUUAUUUGUUAAAACGAAAUGAUAAAAAUAACUGGUUUGCUAUUCACCUUUUAAAGAAUAGUGAACAAUUCUAAAAUGGGUGCAGUAAAUGGCCAAGAUCUCCUUUAAUCUCCACCCUCCACACACUUUGACAGUGAAGAAUUGAUGCCUGCCCGUUUUUAGCCUGGGCUCUAUUUUAUGCGGUAAGUUUCAAACAUCACAAAUCUUCCAUUCAGAGAAUAAGAAGCUUGAGAGAGUGACUAAGGUUGCAAUUUGGAGGUAACUACAUUAAGGCAGGUUAGCAAAGGAUCCUUUUAAAAUUCUGUGGUUCUUAUUUCCACAAGGAAUGAGAAGUCCCUAGAUUGAAUUCUAACAAUAACCUUUUAUUAAAUAUAUCUUCAUUUUUUGUCCGUUUCCAAGAUUUGCUCCCUGGAGGAGAAAUUAAAACUGUAUAAUCUAAAAUAGUCUGAAAUAGCAGGACAGUCCUCUUUUAGUAACUUUCCAUUAAUUUGAAGAAGGGAUCAUAUUGGACUUACAAUCUCUAGAAGUGUGGAUUCUGAAGCUCAACACUGAAAACAGGAGUUUAAAUAUGUUACAAGCACCAAAGAAAUAAGAAAUAAAGCUUUUGCCUAAACUCAAUAAAUGAAUUAAUAGAAUGGGUUUCAAAAGAUGAGUAACUCAGUGGGGCCUGCCCAGUGGCGCAAUGGUUAAUUUCUCACAUUCCAGUUCGCCGGCCCAGGGUUCGCUGGUUCCGAUCCUGGGUGUGGACCUAUGUACUGCUUGUCAAGCCAUGCUGUGGUAGACGUCCCACAUAUAAAGUAGAGGAAGAUGGGCACAGAUGUUAGCUCAGGG
rnacentral:lncRNA from 1 species